rfam:Trichobilharzia regenti genome assembly, scaffold: TRE_scaffold0021745
AUCCAGCUGAUGAGCCCCUAAUAGGACGAAAUGCGCAUCCUGGAU